rnacentral:tRNA from 1 species
GGAGUAGUGUCUGAGUGGUUUAAGGUAUCCGUCUCGAAAACGGAUGUAUCGUGAGGUACCGGGGGUUCGAAUCCCUCCUACUCCG